UACGGGGGGGGUAAGCGUUGUUCGGAAUUACUGGGCGUAAAGGGCUCGUAGGCGGCCAACUAAGUCAUACGUGAAAUCCCUCAGCUUAACUGGGGAACUGCGUGUGAUACUGGAUGGCUUGGAUUUGUGAGAGGGAUGCGGAAUUCCAGGUGUAGCGGUGAAAUGCGUAGAUAUCUGGAGGAACACCGGUGGCGAAGGCGGCAUCCUGGACCAAUAUUGACGCUGAGGAGCGAAAGCCAGGGGAGCAAACGGG
rnacentral:rRNA from 1 species